ACUGUUCAGGUAUUGACGGUACUUAACCAGAAAGCCACGGCUAACUACGUGCCAGCAGCCGCGGUAAUACGUAGGUGGCAAGCGUUGUCUGGAUUUAUUGGGCGUAAAGCGAGCGCAGGCGGUUUUUUAAGUCUGAUGUGAAAGCCUUCGGCUCAACCGAAGAAGUGCAUCGGAAACUGGGAAACUUGAGUGCAGAAGAGGACAGUGGAACUCCAUGUGUAGCGGUGAAAUGCGUAGAUAUAUGGAAGAACACCAGUGGCGAAGGCGGCUGUCUGGUCUGUAACUGACGCUGAGGCUCGAAAGUAUGGGUAGCAAACAGGAUUAGAUACCCUGGUAGUCCAUACCGUAAACGAUGAAUGCUAAGUGUUGGAGGGUUUCCGCCCUUCAGUGCUGCAGCUAACGCAUUAAGCAUUCCGCCUGGGGAGUACGGCCGCAAGGCUGAAACUCAAAGGAAUUGACGGGGGCCCGCACAAGCGGUGGAGCAUGUGGUUUAAUUCGAAGCUACGCGAAGAACCUUACCAGGUCUUGACAUACUAUGCAAAUCUAAGAGAUUAGACGUUCCCUUCGGGGACAUGGAUACAGGUGGUGCAUGGUUGUCGUCAGCUCGUGUCGUGAGAUGUUGGGUUAAGUCCCGCAACGAGCGCAACCCUUAUUAUCAGUUGCCAGCAUUAAGUUGGGCACUCUGGUGAGACUGCCGGUGACAAACCGGAGGAAGGUGGGGAUGACGUCAAAUCAUCAUGCCCCUUAUGACCUGGGCUACACACGUGCUACAAUGGAUGGUACAACGAGUUGCGAACUCGCGAGAGUAAGCUAAUCUCUUAAAGCCAUUCUCAGUUCGGAUUGUAGGCUGCAACUCGCCUACAUGAAGUCGGAAUCGCUAGUAAUCGCGGAUCAGCAUGCCGCGGUGAAUACGUUCCCGGGCCUUGUACACACCGCCCGUCACACCAUGAGAGUUUGUAACACCCAAAGUCGGUGGGGUAACCUUUUAGGAACCAGCCGCCUAAGGUGGGACAGAUGAUUAGGGUGAAGUCGUAACAAGUAGCCC
rnacentral:rRNA from 2 species